AGUACUGCUAGAUUAAUCUUAUGGGACAUUAACAACACCAUCAACAGCAACGUUAGUUAAUGAAUCUUGGUGAGUGAAAUGACUCUCUUA
rnacentral:pre_miRNA from 14 species